AUGCAGUGUCCCCCUGUGGUGGUUUUUGGGGCAUGGGCUGUACCCAUGGCUGGGUUUUUCUCUCCAGAUAUCUGCACAACUUUCAUCUUCCCUCUGCACCUGGCCGAGUUGCUUCAGCCUCUACAAGACACAUAUUUGAAGGAAGUUCUCUCAAUCCUGGUAAGGAAAGUGAGUGAAAGGACAUCUACAUCCUCCUCCUUCCCACUCCACCUGAGCCACCUACGCCUCUUCAGGGGGCCCCAAGGGACCUACCUUAAUCCAGAUCAAAUCUCCUCAAACUUCUUCCCUCACACCCAAGUCUCUUCCCCCCCUAGGAGUCUCCUGGUGCAUGGAACUUACCAGAAACUGGGGUUCCCCAAAGCCUCUGUCUGCCUUCUGCAGCUGAGCUGCUUCAGCCUCUGUGGGACACCCAUUUGAAGGAAUCUGUCCAAAUCCAUGUAAGGUAUUGGAUUUCCUCCUCACUAGACACCUGUUCCAAAGAAGCUCCUGCAACAAGGGUGUGGGCUUGUGUCGUGAAGGUUGAGUAUCCAGGGUGACAGUGAAGAAUCCAUACUCCCACCCAAGAGUGGAUUUCAGUGUGCCUGAGAGGAAGAGGAAGUAAGACAUCUUGCUGGCUUGUCCCCCAGGUCAGUGCAGACCAGAGUUUUGCUGUGGGAGGCAGAGGAAUGGCUGAGUCGCUGUUAGAGCACAUGUCCACCAGAGGGCGCCAGAGCCCCUCAUCGCCUCUCUGCAGCUCCCUGUUUGUAUCUCCAGGCUCAGAAGGAGAUGGUAGAGGGAUGCGUGGAACCUCAGGGAGGGGCCCAGAGCCCGGUGUUGGUUUGCAUGGUGUCUCUGACAUUGUGGCCCCAUUUGCCUCAGUGCAGGGAAGGGACACAUUUCUGCCAUUAAAUAUCUAAU
rnacentral:lncRNA from 1 species